ACAUUAUUCACUUCCACAGAAGCAUAUGAUCCGCUAGAUCCAAAUGGAAAUAUAACAAUCAAAUGAGAUGUCAUGGGCUGGAAUCCAGAUGGUUAUAUUGUUGAAAUUAUCUCGAUGCAAAGUUUUGUGGGUUAAUCCAUACAGUGAUAGAAAUUCUCAUCUAGUGGACAGUGAGAAUGAUCUCAUUGAAUUAAUGGGUCCUUGAACUGA